GUGCCAGCAGCCGCCGCGGUAAUACGUAGGUGGCGAGCGUUAUCCGGAUUCAUUGGGCGUAAAGAGCUUGUAGGUGGCGGUGUAAGUUGGACGUAAAAAAUCUAGGCUUAACUUGGAGAUGCCGUUCAAUACUGCGCCGCUGGAGGAUGACAGAGGGAAGUGGAAUUCCUGGUGUAGCAGUGAAAUGCGUAGAUACCAGGAGGAACACCCGUGGCGAAGGCGGCUCCCUGGGACAUACCUGACACUGAGAAGAGAAAGCCAGGGGCGCACACGGGAUUAGAAACCCCGGUAGCCCUGGCUG
rnacentral:rRNA from 1 species